rnacentral:rRNA from 1 species
AUUGAACGCUAGCGGGAUGCUUUACACAUGCAAGUCGAACGGCAGCGCGGACUUCGGUCUGGCGGCGAGUGGCGAACGGGUGAGUAAUGUAUCGGAACGUGCCCAGUAGCGGGGGAUAACUACGCGAAAGCGUAGCUAAUACCGCAUACGCCCUACGGGGGAAAGCAGGGGAUCGUAAGACCUUGCACUAUUGGAGCGGCCGAUAUCGGAUUAGCUAGUUGGUGAGGUAACGGCUCACCAAGGCGACGAUCCGUAGCUGGUUUGAGAGGACGACCAGCCACACUGGGACUGAGGCACGGCCCAGACUCCUACGGGAGGCAGCAGUGGGGAAUUUUGGACAAUGGGGGCAACCCUGAUCCAGCCAUCCCGCGUGUGCGAUGAAGGCCUUCGGGUUGUAAAGCACUUUUGGCAGGAAAGAAACGUCGCGGGCUAAUACCCCGUGGAACUGACGGUACCUGCAGAAUAAGCACCGGCUAACUACGUG